GAUAUACUGGACCAAUGCCCAAGGAGGCUCAGUGGGAGCCUGAGCUAGAAGGACAAAGGCCAUGGGUGUCCAAGUAUCUGUAGUCAUUCCAAACUGGCGGUGCCGGUGGGCUCUGCCCUGGGCCAUGCUGCUGCUUCUCUUAGGUUCUGAGUUCCUGGAAGAAGUAGAGAGUGAAGAUGAAAAACCUACGAUGAGCUACUUACUUGCAACUGUGGAAUAUGCCAUACACAUAUUCAACCUGCAGAGCAACGAUACAAAUGCCUACAGGCUGGUGCGCAUCUUAAAGCCCAGGAGAGAGCAGUUCAAGGAGGACAGCACAUUGGCAUUCUCUUUUGAGCUUCAGCUUAGAAGAACAAGAUGUGGGAAAUUUGAUGAAGACAUUGACAACUGUCCCUUUCAAGCAAGUUCAGAGAAGAACGAUAUCAUCACCUGCUUUUUCACCAUCGCCAGUGAGCCCUGGUUAACACUGUUUGAACUCUGGAACAAGACCUGCUUGGAUGGCUUCCACAAAUGAGACUCCAGCCUAUCUAGCUCUGGCUGCUCUCCUCUGGGACACCAGUGAUGUCCUGUGGGUGGCCUUUCAGUGGUUGAAUAGAAGAGAGCCUGGCCUUCUCCAUGGAGCUGGAGCUUUGCAGAACCAAAUGUGGGAAAUUUGAUGAUGACAUUGACAACUGUCCCUUCCAAGAAAGCCCAGAGCUGAACAAUACUUUCAACAGCUUCUUCACCAUUGCCACUAUACCCUGGGAAACCACCUUCAAACACCUGUACAAUGUUUGCUUCGAGGGCUUCCAUUGAGUGCUGCUAUACCCUGCC